AUUGAACGCUGGCGGCAGGCCUAACACAUGCAAGUCGAACGAGUGGCGGACGGGUGAGUAAUGUCUGGGCAACUGCCUGAUGGAGGGGGAUACCUACUGAAAACGGUAGCUAAUAACGCAUACCAUCGGAUGUGCCCCGAUGGGGUGCGCUCGUAGGUGGGUGAAAGGCUCACCUAGGCGACGAUCCCUAGCUGGUCUGAGAGGAUGACCAGCCACACUGGAACUGAGACACGGUCCAGACUCCUACGGGAGGCAGCAGUGGGGAAUAUUGCACAAUGGGCGCAAGCCUGAUGCAGCCAUGCCGCGUGUAUGAAGAAGGCCUUCGGGUUGUAAAGUACUUUCAGCGGGGAGGCGUUACCCGCAGAAGAAGCACCGGCUAACUCCGUGCCAGCAGCCGCGGUAAUAC
rnacentral:rRNA from 1 species